UACGUAGGGUGCAAGCGUUGUCCGGAAUUAUUGGCGUAAAGAGCUCGUAGGCGGUCUGUCGCGUCUGCUGUGAAAACUCAGGGCUUAACCCUGAGCUUGCAGUGGGUACGGGCAGACUAGAGUGCGGUAGGGGAGACUGGAAUUCCUGGUGUAGCGGUGAAAUGCGCAGAUAUCAGGAGGAACACCGGUGGCGAAGGCGGGUCUCUGGGCAGUAACUGACGCUGAGGAGCGAAAGCGUGGGGGAGCGAACCGG
rnacentral:rRNA from 1 species